GGGGGUAUAGCUCAGUGGUCGAGCAUUCGACUACAGAUCGAGAGGUCUCCAGUUCAAACCUGGGUGCUUCCU